GGGCAGAGCUGGUAUCCGGCGUCCGCAUCUCCUUGGAGCGGCGAGUACCUUGGCAGCUGGGACCCCAGAGGUCUCCCCAGCGCCUCCUUUCUUGCUAAGCCGACCCUGAGGCCGCCUGGUGGGAGGAGUCCCCUCCCCAGCCUUUGUCCAGGCCCUCCAACUUCUGGAUUAUUUCACGCCCACUUUUUAAAAAUUAUUUUAAUUUUUCAACCAACCAAGGGUCCGGUUUAACCCCAGUUUUCCGCCGAGUACAUGUAGCCCUGGGUCACCAAGGGUCUGAUUUCUUUGGUUCAUUCUACAAAUACUUAUUGAGCAUCCGCUAUGAGCCCAGGAAUUGUGCUGAGGGAAGGGGGAAUGCAAGAGACCAAAGGGAACUGAACCUGUCUCUAUCCGCCCCUGUAUCCCUGGCAUGCUGGGAGGACGGGGCAAAUGGGGAAUAGAACUACCGUUUAUAGAGCAUCUAUUCUGUGCCCAGCUCUGAAUUCUCACAAUAGCUCUGUGAGGUCGCCUGUAUUACAAAAGUCAAACUGUCCUAAAGACAAGGGACCAACAGCCAGCUACCUUGCAUCUAUAGUUGGAUACCUCUCAAGCUUCUCUGGGAAUGAACUGAACUCCACUCAGCUAGAAAAAGCCCCAUCCUGACACCUUCCUUUCCCUCAUUUCCCACUAGUCCCGCUGAUUGCAUCUCUUUGCUUCAUCUACUUCUCUCUGCUGCCCAUAAGCCUUUGAAGUCUGCGUUCUCCUGCUUGGAUUAAUACAAUGUGCUGGCUGGGGGUGGUGUCUCACACUUGUAAUCUUAGCACUUUGGGAGGCCGAGGCUGGCAGAUCACUUGAACCCAGGAGUUCAAGACCAGCCUGGGCAACAUGGCAGAACCCUGACUCUACAAAAAAAUACAAAAACUGGCGGGGUGUGGUGGCAUGUGCCUGUAGUCCCGGCUACUCGGGAGGCUGAGGUGGGAGGAUCACCUGAGCCCGAGGAGGAGGUCGAGGCUGCACUGCACUCCAGCCUGGGCAACAGAGUGAGACCUGGUUUAAAAAAAACAAAAAACAAACCAACAAAAAACACCGCACUCCAAAACACUACACUUCUAACAGGGAUUGCUGCUUCCAUUCUUGGCCCUCUCGUAAACUGCAUUCCAACAAUUGCCAAAGUGAUCUUCUCAAUAUGCUAAUCUAACCAUUACUCCUUUGUGGAUAUUGCCACAUCUAUUACCACUUUCACUAUUAUUAUUUCAUAUUUUAAUUGAUCUCCUUUUUAUUUACCUUCAUCCUAAGUGUUAUCUGUGAAAUAAUAUCUAUGAAAUCAUUUGGAAGUAAAUAUGAAAACUGUUCAUCCAGUGGACCAUCAGUAUCUUUAUCACAUCUAAUGUUUACCAUCACAUGUUUACCAUUAGAUGUGUUUACCACAUCUUGUGAAUGCUUCAAGAUCAACCUAAAUAUCACUUUUUCAAAGUGACUCUCCGGCGCACUACUGACCCUGCUUCCACUGGCUGACCAAGGGUGCCUUAUAGGCCAGGCGCGGUGGCUAACGCCUGUAAUCACAGCACUUUGGGAGGUCAAUGUGGAUCAAUCACUUGAGGUCAGGAGUUCAACAACAGCCUGGCCAACAUGGUGAAACCCUGUCUCUACUAAAAAUACAAAAAUUAGCAGAGUGUGGUGGUUCACACCUGUAAUCCCAGCUACUCGGGAGGCUGAGGCAGGAGAAUCGCUUGAACCUGGGAGGCAGAGGUUGCAGUGAGCCGAGACCGCACCACUGUACCCCAGCCUGGGCAACAGAGCGAGUGAGUCUCAAAAAAUAAAUAAAC
rnacentral:lncRNA from 1 species